UUUUUUUUUACCAAGAGGAUAGUGUGGAGUAGGUAUCAGUUACAGGAUGGAGAGGGGAGGGAUCCUUUAACAGCUGCACUCCUUUAACUGUUUCAUGAAUAUCAUUAAGCAAAAACAUCAAAUAGAUGACAAGGAUAGCCCAUGGCAAUACCAGAGUCUCAUCUCAUCUCUAAGUUUUUUGUUUUUUUCUUUUUAGUUCGGGAUUUUUAAAAAAAAAACCCUUUUAGGAAAAAGAAAUAAUAUUAAUGACUUGAAAAUGAUCUUUGACAUCUCUCAACUUAGAUGCUCUUAUAAAUCUUUGACCCCGUCAACUGUCUCUGAAUAAAUCUCUCACAUUAAAAUUCACAGCAUUUCUCUAUACACAGAUGUGAGAAGAAACACUUAUGCGUGCUGCCUCUGCCUGGUUAACGUACCUGUCCUCUCUUCCAUGAAUCUGUUCACAGUAAGAGUUGGAGUUGACUAGCAUUCCAUAAAAUAUCACUAUCCCUUUUAGAAUAAACCAUUCAUGUGCUUUGACUAAAGCUCUUUUGCUUCCACUUGGGGUCCUGGCAUUUUAGACAUUUAUUUAUGAGUGAUUCUGAUUUCUUGGGAGAAGCUAAGUGAUGCCAAUGCAGAGAUAAAAAUACUCACAGAUACAGGAACACAGAUGCUAUCACAAUGAAAAGGUACUUUGCUUUAAUUAAAUAACCUCAGAAUGGAAACAGGCACUACUUACAGUUCACUUUGAAGGAAAGGGAAAGAAAAAAGAAAAGAAAAAAGAGAAAAGCAUAGCUAACCCAAGGAAACACAGAAAGGGACUGAGUUAGGCAAGAUGUUUGACUAAAGUCACCUGAAUUCCUGAUGCCUGUCUGCUUGCUUUCACAGCCAAGAGUCGACAAUUAAGGGCAAUUUGCAGCCACAUUCCCUUCUCAAGAGACCGUGCAGGGGUAAAGGGGGUAUGUAUUCCAAAAUGAGAGACACUGGUCUUAAUCAGGGGACACUGCACCCAGAAAGGUUAAUGAGAUGCAAGAGCAACAGAAUCAGUGCAAAAAAGAAACGUUCAAAAUACUAAACAAUUUCCACUUUGUUUUCAUCUGCUCCAAUUAAGAGCUCUUGAAACAGCUUUUCCGUAUUCCACACAUUCGCUACUCUCCAGAGCCAAUUUAACUAUUCAAAAAAUAAUAAGUGCUAUGGUGGGGGGGGGAAGUCUACUAUUAAGUUAUCAUAAAAGUCAGGAUUGCACCCCCAAGCCCUACCCUCCGUCUCUCAGCAGAUAUGCUUUUGCCUCUAACUCAGAGCCUCUGCCAGUAGCUUUACCAAUUUUUUCCCUCAAAUUUAAAGAGUAUUUCAAGGAAGGAGAAGCCUAAAAUCAAUUUUUUGCAGAUUUCAUAAAUGCAGAAUCCACAGUGAAAAGAUUAGAUAAAUAAAAGGUAUAAAAAUGGGAGGAAGGAUGGGGGGGAUGAUUAUACAAAUGGAAAUAAUCUCCUUGGCAUGAAAAUAGCCCCUAAAUGCCACACACAGAGUUCUUCUGAACAUUACAGUCUCUAAAAAUGCGCUUCUAAACUGCCUAUGGAUUUCCGAAAACAAACAGGAAAACACAAACAUUGCAGGAAAGCAAGGACCAGGAUCUAAGUGGUCCUGUGACUUACCUUCUUUAUGGAUCCUCAAAGUUCACCACGAAAAUUUAAAAUCCUCUAGUUUAUCUUGGACUACUCUAUUUUCUUCUUUUAAGUCACACAGGAGAAACAUAAUCAGUUUUCAAAGGUUCCAUUGAUCUGAUCUUCUAGCACCAGCAAAAAAACGUGUCCAAGAGACUCAGCCAAAAAGUAAGCCAAAAACUCAUCAAAGGCAAAAAGAAGAACAAGGGGGAAUGGGGAGGGAAGGGGGCGGUGAAAGCUGGGGGGCUUCGGAGCCCAAGUAGCCGGAGAAUAUUUUCAGGCUGUUGGAAUCUAUACUACAAUAUACCUGCUUAGGUUAUCACACAAACACACAUAUCCUCUCGGACCCUCACACGUUCUUUCACGCAAAAGCAGGCACCCACACUCACAGACACGCACACGCACACACUCACACAAACCCGUGUGAUGAAACUGUCAGUAGGAACCUCCAAUAGCCGCUGUGUGCUGCAGAUGGUACCGCUCACUGUUACCUUCCCAGAUUGGUGUAGGAUCAAAAGAACAUCCAAAAAUCACAGGGGCCCCCAGGACCAGGUACAUUCCGGAUCCCUCUCCCCCAGGCAGAUUCAUCAAGCCGGGAGCGGGUCAGUCAGCAGAGGUGUCUGCUUGCAGGGUGCCCCCGGAUUACGGCAAGGUUAUUCAUUUUGAUGUGCUCCAUCCCCCACCCCCAACCCUCGGCAGCCUGCAUUGAGAUGAUUGCCAGAGCCGUGUCUGUCCCUGCUCUACUGCAUUUUGCUCAGCCCUCUGAUGCUGCAAGUGAGACACGGUGGAGGCAAGAAUACUAAUAAGGUGGUUAGCUACAGUUUCUUCAAGGCAGUCGGCACGCAGUACAGUAAAUGUGUACUUCCCAGUGAUCUGUGUGUGUGCCUGCGUAUCUGCAGGGACGGCAGUGAAUCCAUCUCCGGCCAGAAGGCAAGAUGGUUUGUAUCCUGCCUGGGAGGACUACAUCAUCGGAAUUAUCACUGUCCGGCAAUGGCAUUGUCUGUGGCAGUAUUAUGUUUGGGAUGAAAAAAAGGGGAGUGGGUGGGUAAUGGUUUAGAAGCCUAGAGCUGGCAUUUGAACAAGAGAGAAAGAGGGGAAAAAAAUGUCCAGGGAGACAAAUUAGCUUUAUAAAUAAGCUCCAAGGAGACCAAGGCAAAAUUUUAACAUGCUGCUGCCCUGGCUGUUAAAUGGAAAUACAAAGCAAUUUCAAAAACCAGCUCCAACCUAUAAAUCUUGGAGCUGGCAACAAGUAUCUGAAUUUGACUGAUGGGACUGUGGAUAAAUGGAUUUCUGGUAAUAUAAAAAGUUUGCUCAUGCAUUCUGUUUCCACAAUGUGCCCACUGUCUGGUGGGGAUCUAGGUACAGUCCAUUUCUUUUUAAUAUGGAUUUAGACUCUAUCCUUUCACGUUUUCCUCUGAUGCACAGCUUUUAUCACAUAACUAUCAAGUUGUAGAGAACAUCUGAGUAAUGUGUUUGUCACUAGGGGGAAUAGUUGACAAUUGUCAAUAGUUAAGUAUAACCAUACAUAAAACACUCUUACAUGAGAUGAGUUUGGAGUUUUCAGAGGAAAAAAAAAGUCUUAUUAUCUCCUUUAUUACUAAGCCCAGAAAGAAAAUGCAUGCAUAAUAUGCUAAAUUAAUAAUUCCUCAACCUCUUCUAUAAUCAAGUCUCAUAUUAUAAUACCACUUCUUUAGUCAAGGAUACUCACCAAGUUCCUUAAGUUGAAUUCAAUUGGUAUUAUUUGAAUAAGUGAGUACUGAGUUGGAGAAGGCAGCUAAGUGUGAAUUAUGGACCACUGUAAUACCAGGUAUUGCCAGCAGAUGUCACAAAAGCAGAUACAGGUAAAAACUCUACCAGCAAUGGUCAAACUUUAAAUUAGUAAACACAGAUUUCAAUAAAAUUUGUAACAGUCCUCUGAAAUACUAAAUUUUCAUAAAAUAUAAUGGUGUGAAUAAGAACUUGGAGGACUUGCCUUUUAUUCUUUUUUGAAUGUCCCUCUCUAAUCACUCUUUUAAGAAACUCUAGUCGAUCUGUUUUUAAUAUUCGAAAAAAUACUAUACCACUAACAUUAGAUUUGCAUCUAUUUCUAGGAGUUAUGUUUUUUAUUCUAUAAAAUAUAGCAUUUAAGUAUCAUCCAGUUAGUAAUAGAGAAAUUUCUAGAUUAAGCCACAAAGCAGAUAAAUGAGAGGAAGUAAAUUGGGUGAUUAAACAUUUUUUAAAGUUUCCAUUUUAAAGCAAUAGUUCUGUUUCAUCUUGACCAUAUCUAUAAAAAAUCAGUUUAGGGAAUUAUUCAUGUUUGGGAAUUGAACAUUAUUAAUAACUAGUGGCACAGACAACAUAAAGAAUUUUGAUUGUUCUUCAUUAAUCCUACUCAUAUUAUGUGAAAGGUUUUAAAAACCUAGCAUAUCACCUGAGCAUUUAAGCAAUAAACUAGUACCCACUGAAUCCCAGCCCUAACUGACCCGAAUGCCAAUAAAAGACAAUGUUAAAACCUUGGGAAUUAGGAUCCAGACAGACCCGAGUUCAAAUUUCAGUUCUGCUUCAUAUCAGGUACUUCAUUUCUAGAAGCCUUUUUUUCUAGCUUUCACUUGCAAUUAGGACAUGAAUACAUACCUAACAGUAUUAUUGGGAGGACUGGAAUGAAUUAAUAUUUACUAUGUGCUUUGCAUAUUUCCUGACACUUAACAAGUGAACUGUAAGUACUGCCUGUGCCUUGUAAAUAAAGUAGAGGUUUGCUUCUUACAAUGUUAGUUCUGUCUUUGUGGGCUACAAGGUUAAACAGAUGGAAUCAUUUAAGCAACCCUUUCAAUGUUGAAGGAUUUGUUUUUAAAUGUAUUUUUUACAAAUAGCUGUUUGAAUAUUGUUUUUGUACACCAAUAGUUGAGUAACGUUGGAUGACUUUUUAAAACUUUAUUACCUACACAGAUACAUUCAUACAAUUAUCUCUGUGCACCAAGACUCACUAAAAAAGAGAAAUCACUUUCCUCAUUAAUUGUCUGAGAUCAAACAAUUGAAUCAAACAGAAUAUUUAGAAAGAAGAUCCAAUGGCAGUUUACUGCUUCUCCAUCAAGUCUUGCUUUGAAGCCAACAGAACCACCUAACAUUAAAAUGUAGACACUCGGGUGUCUAAUGCAAAAAAGACCUCAGGAAACAAGGACAGCUGAAAUCAGCAAUUCUAUGACAGAUUAUAGCAGAUUCUUAUGGCAACUCAGAUUAUCAUUUCAAAAUAAAUGUCUGGAUAUUGAAGUCCAUCAAACAAUGAUUACAUAGUAAGUACUUUGCCAAGGGGAAGGAAUACCAAAAACGUGACCACUGUUGGUUCAAAACCUCAGGAGUUCCCCAGAGGGAACCUGAAACUGGUCCCAGAACAUAGAGGGCAAAAAGAUAUGGAAGGAAAGGCAGAUCAUUCCUAAUUGGCAGGUGGCAAUUUCAAUAAGAACAGAAACUUACUUACUUAGGAGGCUGGUCUCCGGUAACUGCAAGAGUCGUUUUUUCAGGGCUGGUCAAAAUCUUAACAGUUUACACAGAGACCUUAAAUGGGCUCAAUCACAUAUUCAGUCCAGAUGGUCUCAAACCACCUUUCUCUCUCCAGGCUACAUCCUCUAAAUGGCUCUGGUUAGGGGAACGGUGGGCAGAAGGAACAUUCCCAGGACAGGGGAGGGGCUGAGGACUGCCCCAGCGUCAACUGGCAGCCACACCCUUUCAAUUCCAGCAACCACAGGGAAUCAGUUACAUAGCCAUUUCCUCUGACUGUCUUGAAGUAAUACAUUAGAUGAAAAGUGAGAUAUUUGCUAUACACCUGAAACUAACACAACAUUGUCAGUCACCUAGACUCCAAUAAAUUUUUUAAAAGAGUGAAAUAUAAAAUUAAACACAUCCAGUGCUUUCCCUCCAGCAGCCUAAGAAUCUACAGUAGGUUGGAUACUAAUUGUACGUACACUGAAAAACCCGUUUCUUGGAGAUCCUGCUGUGGCUCGGCGGUAAUGAACCUAACUGGUAUCUAUGAGGAUGCGAGUUCAAUCCCUGGCCUUGCUCAGUGGGUUAAGGAUCCUGCAUGGCCUUGAGCUGCAGUGUAGGUCACAGACACAGCUCGGAUCUGGUGUUGCUGUGGUCAUGGUGUCAGCUGGCAGCUGCAGCUCCUAUUUGACUCCUAGCCUGGGAACCUCCAAAUGCCAUGGGUGCAGCCCUAUAAAAAUAAAAUGAAAAAAAGAAAAGAAAAACAGUUUAUUUGAAAUCUCAUUUCUGGUUACAAUUAAAUAGGUCUCCUCCCUCAUUCUGAGAGAACUGCCUGACAGCGAUAGUCCCUUGUUCUGACCUGAGAGGUGGUCUCUUCCAGAGAAUGAUCACGUGGUAUGUAUGAAUUCACAGGGCACCUGGGAGCCCUUCCCUUUACGCCACCAGAAAAGACUUCUCUCGUAGGUGUUAGUAUUAGAAUACCUCAAUUUGUAAAAAGUGCCCAUGUAAUCUGGGACUUCGGAAUAGUAUGUUUGGAUUAAGGGGGAAGAAAUGUACUUAAAUUCAGUGUUUGGAAAUUCUAAAUUUCCAAAGCUGGUCUCAGAUACUGAGUCAACUGCUACCAUGAACAGUAGAUCAAUGUUUGCCUUAAAAUAUGCACGUUUUCUUUCUUGGGAGUCAACAGUGAAUAGAGAAAGAUCUCACCAGCAUUACUAAGAGCAAAUUCCUCUUAGAAUUCUUAUGUGAAAACUUCAGUGUCCAUGUUUCUCUUAAACACAGACUACUUACAGCCUGUCAUCAUGUUUUUAUUUGUUCCCAACCUCAUAUGUUAUGGCAUAAGCAUGAGAAGAGGAAUUUAGUUUAGGAUUUGUUCCCUCCUUGGCUUGUUGUAAAAUUGGUUUGCUUGUAAGCCAUGUGUCCUGAAUUAGCUUAUUAGCCUGAAAAAUUACAUUCUAUUAUUGACUACUUUUUAUUAUUCCAUCUCUUGACAUUUUUACUAAUUAUGUCUUGAAAUUAGCUUGGAUCAUUUAUUUAAAGUGUUUUAACCAGUUAUCAAGGGUGGGACAUCAUUAUGUUUCUCAAAUUAUUUAGCCUUAUGUUUACCCAGAAAUUAAAAGCUUAGAUAAAUAUGGCAUGAAUGUUGCACUAUUUGGAUCAGUUUCUCCCAGAGGUCUGCCUGGACCUUUACAAUCACUUCCUCUCAUCAAUCCAAAGAGUAUAUAUUUGACCCUUAUC
rnacentral:lncRNA from 1 species